GUGGAGAUAAUUUGAUCCAAUUGAAGUAAAACAAAAUUAACAAGUAUUUAUCUUUAAACAUGGCAUUUAUGCAUGACAGGUAGAAUUAAGUUACAACUUGCACCCUCAAAAGAAAAUAACUGAUAUAAAGAUUAAUAAGUCUAUUAAUGUGUUGUAUAUGUUACACUAAAACCAAGUUAAAUAAUGUACAAUAACGUUGGUUACUAUACUUUAUUAUCCAAAAACUGCAGAAGAGUUAUACUUUCCAAGAAUAGAAUUGCAUGCACUUUUGUGUGUGGUAGCACAGUAUUUUUACAUAAGGGCCCAUUUUCUCAUUACUUUUUGAAACCUUUCCUGAAGUAAUAAAAACAAAAACAGUUUAACAAAACGUUACACUUCACUUGCAACAAAACAUGACAUAAUGCUCAUAGUGUGAUUCAGCAUGCAAAAGAAAGAUGAUCCUUGAAGCAUACAAUAUCAGAGUAUGGCACAAAGGUUGUAAGACACAACUGCAGAUUUGGCACCUAACUGAUAAUUAUACAAUUGAAAAUCUCUCAUGUUUCCUUUCUUUCACAUAUUGAACCUUUUGUUUCCAUACUUAACCAACAUCAUAGCAUAUCCUAUCUUCAUAACUCUAUAGAUUAUCAUUAUAUAUUGUUGAUGUCCAUAAGGAACCAUUAACUUACUCAUACAUUUUACUACUUGUUCUUCUUGGCUUUCAUUAGUUUUCAUUUCCUUAUAUAAAGCAUCCUUGCUCCAUUUGUUUUAAUCACAUUCCAUUGAAUUGAUUCCAACAAAAACAGGCAACAUGGAAAUGAAGAAGCUCUUAUGGGUAGCUCUAUCACUCGCCUUCCUUUUCGCAAUAGCCGAGAGCUUUGAUUUGCAUGAGAAUGAUUUAGCAUCAGAUGACAGUUUGUGGGACUUAUACGAGAGAUGGAGGAGUCACCACACAGUUUCUCAAAGUCUAGAUGAGAAGCACAAGCGCUUCAAUGUGUUCAAAACAAAUGUGAUGCAUGUCCACAACACUAACAAAAUGGACAAGCCUUAUAAGUUGAAACUGAACAAGUUUGCUGACAUGACCAACCAUGAAUUUAGAAGUAGCUAUGCUGGUUCAAAGAUUAACCACCACAUUAUGUUCAGAGGUAUUUCUAGUGGUAAUGGGUCCUUCAUGUAUGAGAAGUUUGAUAUAGUUCCUACUUCUAUAGAUUGGAGGAAGAAAGGUGCUGUCACCAUUAUAAAGGAUCAAGGUCAUUGUGGUAAGUUCAUUCAAUUACUAUGUUCAUCUUAUCUCUAUUUCAGGAAAGUAUGUGAUCAUAUAGAGGAUAGAGGUAUAUAUACAAAGGUUAUAAAAGAAAUUUCAUAAAUCUUGAUUAGACUAGUUAUGUAUUAAAUUAUGGUUGUGAUUACUACGAUCAUUAUGGUCAUUGUGAUGCAGAUUGCGGCAAUUGCCUAAUGCAACCCAAAUUCGGUUUGAUACAGUUGUGUUGCAACCCGAUGCAACCACAUAAUUGCGAUUCAGUGUUACACCAUAAUUAUGGUGUAAUGCGGUUGCAACUGUCAUCACAACUAUAAUAUUGUUACCACAGCACGUGAUACAGUCCGUAAUUUGAAUGAGUGAUAGUGUCUAUCUAUUACCUUAUAUGUAUUUAGUAAGGAUGAAUGUAAUGUAAUGUUAAUGAUGCUGUUGUUAAUGUCUACUAUAGGUAGUUGUUGGGCGUUUUCUACUGUUGUAGCAGUUGAAGGCAUUAACCAAAUCAAGACAAAUAAGCUAGUGACAUUGUCUGAACAAGUGCUUAUUGAUUGUGACAAUAAAGAAAAUCGUGGAUGCGAAGGUGGGCUAAUGGAAAAUGCUUUUGAGUUCAUAAAGAAAAAGGGUGGCAUAACAACAGACAGAAAUUACCCUUAUGCAGCAGCAGAUGGAACCUGUAAUAAAUCAAAGGUUCAUAUAUAAUGUUGAGUUUUUUAUGAAACCAAUAUUAUUGACCAAUAACUAGAGUAAUUUAAAGAUGCAAAAUAAUUCAUAUUUUUGCAGAUGAAUAAUGUGGUUGUGUCAAUUGAUGGUCAUGAGAAAGUACCUGCAAACAAUGAAGAGGCACUGCUUAAAGCAGUUGCCAACCAACCUAUAUCUGUAGCCAUAGAUGCUGGAGGAACUGAUUUCCAGUUUUACUCAGAGGUAAAUUUCUUCACUGUUAAAUUUGUUAAAACUUGCUCAAAUCGAAGCAUUAGUGACUAGUGACCCCCACCAUAUAUCCUAAUUCCCUCCACAUAAAGGGAAGGUUAUGGAGCAAUCAAAUUCAUUUGUGAAAUAGCUCUGAAGUCUUCUAUUUCCGUUCCUUCUCCUAUACCAAAACCUAACUCGCAAACAAUUCCCUAUCAAUAUUGACACAAAUGGGUAUUCAUAAUUUUGUCUACUAAUGAUUACAGGGAGUAUUUACUGGUGAAUGUGGCACAGAUCUAAAUCAUGGUGUAGCAAUUGUGGGCUAUGGAAAAACUCUU
rnacentral:lncRNA from 1 species